rnacentral:rRNA from 1 species
GGAUGCGAUUAUACCAGCACUAAAGCACCAGAUCCCAUCAGAACUCCGAAGUUAAGCGUGCUUGGGCGAGAGUAGUACUAGGAUGGGUGACCUCCUGGGAAGUCCUCGUGUUGCAUUCC